rnacentral:lncRNA from 1 species
UUGACGACGCUAGUGUACUGUGUACCCGUCAUCGCCAUUCCUCCAUUCGUGAUCCUGUCCAGGUAAGUCCAGCACCUUUCCGCAUCUCUUCCUAAACAAUCUUGGAUUGCCUCGAACGCGGGCUGGAAGGAGGUGGCGGGGGUGGGUUCGGUGGCAACUGCGGUGGGAGCAUGGAUGGAGGUAGAGGCGGCUUUGGGCAGGCGCAGGCUGACCGACGACGCGGCAGGAGUCUGUCUUACAUGCCACCGAGCAUCUUGCCCAACCUAGGGUUUGGCUGCUUGAGUGAGGAGAGAUGCGGUUUGGGGAAGAAGACCGAGGCCCGAUUUGAUUCAGGCCUCUAUCACUCCAUGUGAUUUCUCCUCUAUUGUCGCCAUACUCGAGUCGACGCGCUAGCAACUGCGCCUCGUCGGGUCACUAUCCAGUCCAUUCCACCACUUCACAUGCGAACAAGAGCAAAGCCCGAAAUCCUUCUCCGUUUCUCCCCCUGCACGCAUGCACCUGCUCUCUCGCGUGUCUCUUGUGUCCUUACUGUCUAAGUGUCUAGUGGCGACGACUGCCACUGCCACUGCCACUGCCGCCGCCGCCCGCGAGGGGCCAUGCCCCUCAUCUCCACCUUUGAGCGCUUCGCCCAGGUAUGUCUGCCCCGCAGUUGUCGUGCUUCACACAGCUCAGUCCACCGUCUUGAAACCUUGUAAAAUCUGCAUUGUGGAGAAAUUCCAUUCCCUCUGGACUUGGAUUGGAUUGCAUGCAUACAACGGAUCAAUUCAAUAGCGCGUCUAUUGUCCUAGCCAGCAAAUCAACACUUAUUUGUGUAGUCCAGGGAAUUGCAGUCGUGCCUGCCAUGACUGCUACUCAUGAAAACGUAGCUUUAAUCUCUUCAUUUCUUUCUUUCUUCAAACGACAUAAAGCGGCUUACUUCCAUUAUUCUUCUGGAAAACGCAUUACUGCACACACUAUAAAUUAGUAUGCAUUUGGUAAGAAAUGCAAAUAUCUGCUUUGACACAAAACAAGGCAUCAAUUGCUUUAGGUUCAGUUCUUAAAACCGGAGAAGAUGGGUUUCCUCCGGACUGGUGCGUUGUUCACUUGUCAUCUGCCAUUCCCGUUGAGGCAAACUGUCAUACAAAAAAAUCCAAAAAGGCCAUUGUUUCUUGUAUUUCUUACAAUUACGAAGACAUCGAUGCCUUCCUUUGGGAAUUGUAGUAAUAAUCUAUUUGAGCUUCAAAACAAAAAUAGUGGCCUAGUAACUAAGGCAUGGGCGCAUGGCAAUUUAAGUCAAAGGUGUGUUGGUCAUAUGCAGACUAAGGCUGUCUCCAGCAACGUCCCCUAAAUUCCAUCCUCUAAAAGAAUAUUCUCUGUCCUUUACAGCACACUCUAAAAGAUUCCGUCCUCUAUAUCUUAUCAGUCUCCAGCAACGUCCUCUAAAUUUGGUCCUCUAUAUCUACAAUGCUACCAGAUUUCAUUAUUUAUAUUGUUUUUACCUAUCGCUUUUAUAAAAAGAAUAUUUUUUGUACAUCACAAAAUUGAAAUACUUAUUACAAUAUAUUUUCAUUUUAUGGAGAAAUUACUCAUCAUUCAUAUAUAGCAAAACAAUGUAUCACAAAUUUGUAUUAUAUAUUUUCCUUCUUGUAUACGCAAACAAAAAACCGUUAGUCUCUACCAAAAUUAAAAAAGUUUGACUAAGCUAUUCGCAACUGCAUUAUGCAACAAUCCAGCAUCGGACACCAUUUUUUUAACACAAUAUGCAUGCAUGCAACGUGGGUAAGUCAAUCAACAUUGGUCGUCACGUACACAAGUGUCAGGUUGUAGCGCUUUGAUUGCGGGAUAGAGGACGAACAGUGUUUCUCUACAUAUAGCGGCUGAAGCAGAGACUCUAAAUUUUAGAGUGUCUUUUAGGGUUCCUUGUUGGGUGGAUAAAGGAGCACAAUAUCCUCUAAAUUUAGAGUACAGGUUGUUUUACAGUUCGUUGCUGGAGAGAGUCUAAGUAAGCGCACACUUUGUCUUUUUGACGUAUUAAUUUUCCUCCUAUCCUAUUCAUAUAGGACCUACAAAUUUUAGCCACCUGCUUGUUUUUUUCCAUGGAGGAUUUUCUCAAGAGUACAUCAAUUUUUUGCUAAUAUUUCCAACAUAUCAAUUUGGUAAUAAUGAUUUUACACAUAUAUACCAGUUCACUGAAUAUAUGCACUACACUUGAAAUAUAUCAGGUCACUGAAUAUAUGCACUGAAAUAUCAAUUCAUUGAAUAUAUGUGCUACACUUCAAAUAUAGUUCACUGAAUAUAUACACUACAUUUUAAUACAAUUUUUUAAGCCUUGCUGUGUUCUAAUGUCAUCACAAUCGGACUUGUGAAAUGUUUCCGUUUUCUGUUUGGUGGAAAGGGGGCCAUCACAUUGCCAUUACUAAAUUGAACAUAAAAAAUCAACAAGAAUGACUAAGAUUUUAGAUUGUUACAAGACCAGCUACCCUUUUUGAUGUACAACAUCCCAUCACUUAAAACAACACAUUAGACAUAUUUGUUGUGGCAGCAGCAACUGAGACUCUGGUUGUAACCUGGUAUGAUACUAGUGGCAAUUGUUCUAGAUAUGUUGCUGAUAUAAGUACAAGAAAGCAUCAGUUGUACAACCAACCAACCAACCAACUAAACCACUUAGAAACAUGGUGAAAUAACAGCCAACUAAGCAUCACUUGUUUUACUAAUAGCUAUGCUAUAACAUUGUUUUAAUAACACCUAUACUACUAACAUUGUUUUUACUAACACCUAUGCAUUCCUUUGUGCAAAAUAAUAUUUUUUCUUCUAUAUCUGGGUUUAUUGCAAGUGCUAGUAGUUUUUUGGGUAACCAUGUAAAUUAAAUCGUGUGUCGAUUGGUGUUACUUGAAGAGUGCUAGGUGGAAGCAACACAUGAAGUUGACAUGGAGAAGAAAAAUGCAAUGACAGUCCACAUGAAGGUUGUGAAAAAGGAGUUAAACUCAUAAUUCAUUCUAGUGCCAAAGUUCCUAACAAAGAGACUCUUUGUACUCCAUAUAUUUGUACAUGUGAAUGAAGAUGAGCUUAUGUGAUUUGAUGAUGGAUGAAUUAA